UACGUAGGGUGCGAGCGUUGUCCGGAAUUACUGGGCGUAAAGAGCUCGUAGGUGGUUUGUCGCGUUGUCCGUGAAAACUCACAACUCAAUUGUGGGCGUGCGGGCGAUACGGGCAGACUGGAGUACUGCAGGGGAGACUGGAAUUCCUGGUGUAGCGGUGGAAUGCGCAGAUAUCAGGAGGAACACCGGUGGCGAAGGCGGCGUGCUGGAUCCCUUCUGACGCUGAGGCGCGAAAGCCAGGGGAGCGAACGGG
rnacentral:rRNA from 1 species